AGUGAACGCUGGCGGUAGGCCUAACACAUGCAAGUCGAACGGCAGCACAGUAAGAGCUUGCUCUUACGGGUGGCGAGUGGCGGACGGGUGAUGAAUACAUCGGAAUCUACUUUUUCGUGGGGGAUAACGUAGGGAAACUUACGCUAAUACCGCAUACGGCCUACGGGUGAAAGCAGGGGAUCUUCGGACCUUACGCGAUUCAAGGUGCCGAUGUCGGAUUAGCUAGUUGGCGGGGUAAAGGCCCACCAAGGCGACGAUCCGUAGCUGGUCUGAGAGGAUGAUCAGCCACACUGGAACUGAGACACGGUCCAGACUCCUACGGGAGGCAGCAGUGGGGAAUAUUGGACAAUGGGCGCAAGCCUGAUCCAGCCAUACCGCGUGGGUGAAGAAGGCCUUCGGGUUGUAAAGCCCUUUUGUUGGGAAAGAAAAGCAGCAGGUUAAUACCCCGCUGUUCUGACGGUACCCAAAGAAUAAGCACCGGCUAACUUCGUG
rnacentral:rRNA from 1 species